UACGUAGGUGACCAGCGUUGUCCGGAUUUACUGGGCGUAAAGAGCGCGCAGGCGGUCGUUCAAGUCGAGUGUGAAAGCCCCCGGCUCAACUGGGGAGGGUCACUCGAUACUGAUCGACUUGAAGGCAGGAGAGGGAAGCGGAAUUCCCGGUGUAGUGGUGAAAUGCGUAGAUAUCGGGAGGAACACCAGUGGCGAAGGCGGCUACCUGGCCCACUCUUGACGCUGAGGCGCGAAAGCUGA
rnacentral:rRNA from 1 species